rnacentral:lncRNA from 1 species
UGCAGAGAUCUACCCCGCAAAGCCCUGUGGACCAUCUAAUGUGACUGAAGGGACCACAAUACAUUUCAAGUGUCAAACUAAUAACAUCACUAUAAGCGGGGACAUGGUUCAUUUUUACCUUUGCAAGGAUGGAGUUGGGAUACAAAUGGCACCAAUGAAGAAAGGUGCUGAAUCUGUUUUCUUGUUAAAAGAAGUAAAAAAACAAGACUCGGGCAAGUACAGCUGUGUGUACAGCAUAUGUAAACACCCAAUUAGCCAAGUGAAGUCAACAGGGGAUUAUCUGGUCUUACGGGUCAACGGAGUUGAAGAUGUGGAAGUUGGGGUGCAAGGAAAUGAAGAAAUAGAGAAUCUGGACUUAAAGUGCAAGCUGGGCUGUAUUCUCAGCAUAAUGCAAGGUAAUAACUCAAUUUGUAACUUUCUGAGUUUUGAGAAAUAUACUUUAAAGCAUAU